rnacentral:rRNA from 1 species
CCUAAUACAUGCAAGUCGAACGGCAGCACAGCAGAGCUUGCUCUGUGGGUGGCGAGUGGCGGACGGGUGAGGAAUACAUGGGAAUCUGCCCAGUCGUGGGGGAUAACGUAGGGAAACUUACGCUAAUACCGCAUGCGCCCUUCGGGGGAAAGCCGGGGACCUUCGGGCCUGGCGCGAUUGGAUGAGCCCAUGUCGGAUUAGCUAGUUGGCGGGGUAAUGGCCCACCAAGGCGACGAUCCGUAGCUGGUCUGAGAGGAUGAUCAGCCACACUGGAACUGAGACACGGUCCAGACUCCUACGGGAGGCAGCAGUAGGGAAUAUUGGACAAUGGGCGCAAGCCUGAUCCAGCCAAGCCGCGUGAGUGAAGAAGGCCCUCGGGUUGUAAAGCUCUUUUGUCCGGAAAGAAAAGCGCCGGGUUAAUACCCUAGUGUCCUGACGGUACCGGAAGAAUAAGCACCGGCUAACUUCGUG